rnacentral:rRNA from 1 species
CAGUCGCCGCGGUAAUACGUAGGUGGCAAGCGUUGUCCGGAAUUAUUGGGCGUAAAGGGCUCGCAGGCGGUUUCUUAAGUCUGAUGUGAAAGCCCCCGGCUCAACCGGGGAGGGUCAUUGGAAACUGGGAAACUUGAGUGCAGAAGAGGAGAGUGGAAUUCCACGUGUAGCGGUGAAAUGCGUAGAGAUGUGGAGGAACACCAGUGGCGAAGGCGACUCCCUGGUCUGUAACUGACGCUGAGGAGCGAAAGCGUGGGGAGCGAACAGGAUUAGAUACCCGUGUAGUCCCUGUCUCUUAUAA